rnacentral:sRNA from 1 species
UGUCUAAAAUUCGAUCUAGAUGUUUCGAC